UGCGGAUUCCGAGGCUGCCCUCU
rnacentral:misc_RNA from 1 species